GUGGAAACUCCGCACUGCUGGCUGCGCUUCCAGGAAGUCUUGGAGGGACUGUUUGAGGCUUUGCUAUGUGAGGGGAAUGUACAAUACAGUUCAGCCUGGGUAACAGACGAGGCCAGGCACGUAUGUUUACCUUUAGGCCCUGAACAUCCCUGUAGCUGCUUUAUCAGUAUGAUUGGGUCAUUGCCUUGCCGCAAGGUAAAACCUCAUCCACCCUCCAUUCAGUUCUGAAGAAUGUAUCAGGAUCUGAGACGGCUCUAUUGUUGGGAGAUCAUUCCCUAUUCAUUGUGUGAUCCAGUUUCCAGUUGUCCUCACUUUCUAAGGAGAUGCUUGUCAGCAGAGUUCAAUUGGGAAUGUCAAAUGCGUGAAUAAAUAUUACACUUACUGUAUACA
rnacentral:lncRNA from 1 species